AGCCUGUGAGAAGACAUCUGGGUCAUUUCUCAAGCCAGCUAGCAGGACAUCUGAAAGGGGCAUGCUAACCAAAACCUCCCUUUCCGAUGUAGACAAAAGAACCACAAAGAAAGGAAUGUUAUCUGAGCUGUGGACCUUGGAUAUUGAAAGUCUCCUGGAAACCCCAAGGAGAAAUAUUUUCAAGUAUGCUGUUCCUUCUACUCAGCCACCACCUGCUGAUCACUUGAAUUCCUACAGCCAGUUCUAGGGUCAGGGCCAAAAGCUCGCCUGUCCCCUCAAUUCUGCCCCCUUAUUAUGUACUUCAAAAUUGUCUUCCUCUGAUUAUAAAGACCUGAUGUUAUCAAUGUAAAA